UUCACAGGUUAACCCGUGGCCUGAGUGAGGAAGAAGCAAUGUCCUUGCUAGUCACUAUUUGUGGCGACAUCUCCAAAUUGCGUGAAACCCGUCAUACAGCUUCAAGUACCACUUCAAUUGAGAAAUCUUUUGAAGGAACAGAGGUAACUCCUCUUCCCAAAGGUAAAAAGCUUGAAGACACGGUGGCAAUGCGCAGCCAAGCUCCUAAGUAUUUUAAAUAUAAGGAGAAGGUUCAGAGAGCAGACGGAGAUGGGCGGUAAUUAUCGCCGCUUAAGGUGUGCUCCAGCCUCUUUCGAAAGAUUGAG
rnacentral:ncRNA from 1 species